UACGGGGGGGGCAAGCGUUGUUCGGAAUUACUGGGCGUAAAGGGCUUGUAGGUGGCCAACUAAGUCAGACGUGAAAUCCCUCGGCUUAACCGGGGAACUGCGUCUGAUACUGGAUGGCUUGAGUGUGGGAGAGGGAUGCGGAAUUCCAGGUGUAGCGGUGAAAUGCGCAGAUAUCAGGAAGAACACCCGUGGCGAAGGCGGCUCUCUGGGACGGUACUGACGCUGAGACGCGAAAGCGUGGGGAGCGAACAGG
rnacentral:rRNA from 1 species